AUGGAGACGGUGCUACGUCAAGCUUUAAUUCGAUUCAAGCUGGCUGGCAUAGAGACGGACAUGAAGCAACUGGAUGCUUCAACAUGGAUUGCCCUGGCUUCAUACGAGCGAAUGGCGCUGCCAUAUCUCCAGGACAAAAAAAGCGGAGACUGGUGGGUGUACUAUGGCUUCAAUAGCGUUCCUACGGGGGUGGGAUACUUCCCAAAGUCAUUGUUCAGCUACCUGGCAAAUAAGGCAAACCAGUUGGCAUUUGGUGGUGCCGUGGUUGCCCAUAGGGCGGCUUCAACUCCUUCGAUGGGUAGCGGUUCCUUCCCUAAUGGUGGUCAAGGGCGCGCUGCUUCUUUCACUAACCUUGGUAUCAUUGACAAGGAGGGGAACACCAAGCCCAUCAUGGCAGACUUCCCCACGUUGGUUACUAAUAACAAAUGCCACUCUAUUACUCCUAUCAAUCAUGCUGCAUGCCUUUAUGGCGGUCCUGGAGGUUGUGUGAGAUAA
rnacentral:rRNA from 1 species